GGAUUGUGGCUCAGUGGUAGAGUGCUUGCCUGGCAUGUGUAAGGCCCUGGGUUUGAUUCUCAGCACCA
rnacentral:tRNA from 1 species